AAGGAUCAUCAUUGAAUCUAUAUUUACAAACCUUUGUGAACUGUAUGUAUUAGAGUGUGCUUGGCAGGAAGAACGCUGGCAUUUGCCGGUGGACGUGUCUUUAGCUUGUGCUUGCACUGGCUAGAGUGCCUGCCAACACGCUCGCCUUUUAACAAACUUUAUUAAAUAUUGACUGAUAAAAUAUUAUUAAUUAAAACAACUUUCAACAAUGGAUCUCUUGGCUCUC
rnacentral:misc_RNA from 1 species